UGUGUUAGAAAUCUUACCAAAAGUGUUACUCGGAAAGAAUGAACUUUGUGACGAUGAUGGUUUCCCUUCAUGAUAUAGAAACAUGAUGGAUGGUCAAAAAUUUUGAAAAGGGGAAGAGAAAGACUCGAAAAAAGGAGGAGAAAAACUUGUUGUGGUAGGUGAUCGGAGGUGGAAGAGCCAAGGAGGAACAUAGGAUUUCG